rnacentral:pre_miRNA from 1 species
UUUAAGUGCAGCCAUACUUUUCCGUACUCAACUUUGAUCGUCCGUCUUAUUUAAAAAAAUUUGAAAACAUAAGUCACACAUAAAGUACUAUUUAUGUUUUAUCAUCUCAUAACAACAAAAAAAAAACUAAUUACAAAAAAAUUUCAAAUAAGAUGGACGAUCAAAAUUGGGCACGAAAACUCAUGGUUGCACUUAAA